rnacentral:rRNA from 1 species
AGAGUUUGAUCAUGGCUCAGGACGAACGCUGGCGGCGUGCCUAAUACAUGCAAGUCGAGCGAGCUUGCCUAGAUGAUUUUGGUGCUUGCACUAAAUGAAACUAGAUACAAGCGAGCGGCGGACGGGUGAGUAACACGUGGGUAACCUGCCCAAGAGGCUGGGAUAACACCUGGAAACAGAUGCUAAUACCGGAUAACAACACUAGACGCAUGUCUAGAGUUUGAAAGAUGGUUCUGCUAUCACUCUUGGAUGGACCUGCGGUGCAUUAGCUAGUUGGUAAGGUAACGGCUUACCAAGGCAAUGAUGCAUAGCCGAGUUGAGAGACUGAUCGGCCACAUUGGGACUGAGACACGGCCCAAACUCCUACGGGAGGCAGCAGUAGGGAAUCUUCCACAAUGGACGAAAGUCUGAUGGAGCAACGCCGCGUGAGUGAAGAAGGGUUUCGGCUCGUAAAGCUCUGUUGGUAGUGAAGAAAGAUAGAGGUAGUAACUGGCCUUUAUUUGACGGUAAUUACUUAGAAAGUCACGGCUAACUACGUGCCAGCAGCCGCGGUAAUACGUAGGUGGCAAGCGUUGUCCGGAUUUAUUGGGCGUAAAGCGAGUGCAGGCGGUUCAAUAAGUCUGAUGUGAAAGCCUUCGGCUCAACCGGAGAAUUGCAUCAGAAACUGUUGAACUUGAGUGCAGAAGAGGAGAGUGGAACUCCAUGUGUAGCGGUGGAAUGCGUAGAUAUAUGGAAGAACACCAGUGGCGAAGGCGGCUCUCUGGUCUGCAACUGACGCUGAGGCUCGAAAGCAUGGGUAGCGAACAGGAUUAGAUACCCUGGUAGUCCAUGCCGUAAACGAUGAGUGCUAAGUGUUGGGAGGUUUCCGCCUCUCAGUGCUGCAGCU